UACGGGGGGAGCAAGCGUUGUUCGGAUUUACUGGGCGUAAUGGGCGCGUAGGCGGUCAGCACAAGUCAGUUGUGAAAUCUCCGGGCUUAACUCGGAAAGGUCAACUGAUACUGUGCGACUAGAGUGCGGAAGGGGCAACUGGAAUUCUCGGUGUAGCGGUGAAAUGCGUAGAUAUCGAGAGGAACACCUGCGGCGAAGGCGGGUUGCUGGGCCGACACUGACGCUGAUGCGCGAAAGCCAGGGGAGCAAACGGGG
rnacentral:rRNA from 1 species